rnacentral:sRNA from 1 species
AGUUGGUAGAGCAGUUGACUUUUAAUCAAUUGGUCGCAGGUUCGAAUCCUGCACGACCCACCAAUCGUUCGGUGGAAACGAGAAUAAAGCGUGAAGGAUAACGUUGCGUCAGCAACGGCCCGUAGGGCGAGGCGAAGCCGAGUCAUCCUGCACGACCCACCG